rnacentral:rRNA from 1 species
CGUAGGGUGCGAGCGUUAAUCGGAAUUACUGGGCGUAAAGCGUGCGUAGGUGGUUCUGCAAGUCAGAUGUGAAAUCCCCGGGCUUAACCUGGGAACUGCGUUUGAAACUACAGAGCUAGAGUGUGGCAGAGGGGGGUGGAAUCCCACGUGUAGCAGUGAAAUGCGUAGAUAUGUGGAGGAACACCGAUGGCGAAGGCAACCCCCUGGGCCAACACUGACGCUGAGGCACGAAAGCGUGGGGAGCAAACAGGAUUAGAUACCCUGGUAGUCCACGCCCUAAACUAUGUCAACUAGUUGUCGGGAAAGCAAUUUCUUGGUAACGAAGCUAACGCGUGAAGUUGACCGCCUGGGGAGUACGGUCGCAAGAUUA